GCUGGGGAGGCCCGGGCUCCAGGGGGGUCUCGGGCUCCCGGGCCUUCCUGUCUGCACCGCCUGCUGCUGUAGCUGAGCCACGUGUCGCCACUCGUGACAAGGCAGGUUGAGACCCCACUGAGGAUUGCCUGCCGCUGCCAGCUGGACAGGGGGGCCUGGAGCUGUGGGCUGCCCCGUGUGGGGAUUAUGGGCCCGGGGGAUUAGCCACGGGGCCCUGCACCUGCUUUACCAGCCGGCCACCCUGACAGGCUUGGGGUCCAGCCCGAGGGGCCCCGCGAGCUUGAGUCCGUGUGAAGGCGUCUUGGGGACUUAGCCUGGCUUUUGGUUGGAAGAAGCAACCCCCAAAACGGUGACAGUUUUGUCACAGUUGCUUUUUGUCUCUUGUUUACACCGUACACACGUUUCUUGGCCUUUAUUCCCCUGGAAGCUUUAAGGAAGUGGGGUGAGCCUCGGGUAUUCGUGUAUGAAGGACGCCCCGAGGUGCACUUGGGCCAGUCCCCUCCUCAUUGCUCACCCCUGUUCCCACAUUUAAUAACUCACGUCUCACAACUCUCUGUAUCUUCUGGGAACUGGGCGGUUGUAACUUUCCCAUAUUCAUUCGGGGUCUUUUUCUUAUUGAUUGGUGGAAGCUCUUUAUAUAUCGUGAACAGUGUUCAUUUUUGUUCUUUUUAAUUUAUGCACAGGUAUGAGUGGUCUUUUCUCAUCUCUUAUGAUGAUAAAUAAUGUCAGGCAGAUAUCUUUGUAUUUACGUGGCCAAACUUAUCAAUCUCUACUCUUACGGUUUCUCGGUUUGGUGUCGUGGACAGAAGAGUUCCCUGUUCUGAGGUUAUAAUUUUUCUAGAGCCUCUGUAGUUUCACUUAAAAAAAAAAACAACACAUUUAAAAUCUUGCUAUAUUUGGAACUCAUCCCUACACAAGGUGUAAGAGAGUCUACUGUUCCGUGUUUUUCCAGGUGGUUCGGGGUUGUCCCAACUCUACUUUCUGGAUAAGCUGCUUUUCCUCCCUGAUUUGAGAUGCCACCUUUAUCACAUACCAGAUUCGUGCACGUGGCUGCUCUAUUUCUGGACUUUCUAUUCUGUCCCACUCAUCCGCCUGGUUCUUGCAGCAGGCGAGUCUGUAACGACGAGUAAUAACAUGUUUCCUUUAAAAAAGCAACAAUCAGACCUGUGGUCAGGGGAGAGGGAAGAUUCCUGUCUCGCCCUCUGCUUCCAGGAGAGAUAACCGUCAUCCCAGGUGGUUUUCUGUGUCCGUACAUUUUCUUUUUUAACUUCCUGUUUUGAAAAUUCUCAAGCCUGCAGAAAAAGUUGCAGGAAUACUGCAGCAAACACCCAUAGGCCUUUAGCUGAGAUUCGCCAGCUGCUCACACUUCACCACGUUACGUUAUCUUUUUACCAAAUGGGUAUUAUCACGCACGCGCACGCGUGCGUGUGUGAGGGAGACAGAGAGAUGCUGCGGGCCACUUGAGAGUCGGCUGCGGACUUGAUGCCCCUUUGGCCCUGAUACACCCAGGUGGCCGGUUUUCCUCAUUCGCGUCGGUUCUGUCCUGUAAGGUCGGCGCGAACACCGAGUCCGUGGAUACGGAAGCAGGGCUCCCGCGGGCGCACAGGGUGAGGUCCCUGCAAGCCUCUGCUCACAGUUUCAUCGUGGAAGCUUGUGUCACGUGUGUUUCUGUUCAGAGCCUCUCUGUAAGUGUGCUUCAUGCUCAAGAGCCGGCCACCAAGAGUCAAGAGUCGUACACUUCACCGAGCCCGCCGGGCGCCGCCCCCGAAGCGCAAAUGUUUCUCAUUUUGAGGAAGUCCAGUCUAUUUUGCCUCGGUUGCUUGUGCUUCGUUGUCACGUGCAAGAAGCCACGGCCGGACCCGACGUGGUAAAGGCUCGGCCGUGUUUUCCUCUGUUCGUUACAUCGGUUUCGAGUCCCGCUGUGCUGGGGGUCUGUCCUGUGUGUGGUGUGGGAUGGGGCCCCACUCCGUCCUCCACGCAGGGAGGUCCUGUCGUCCCGGCGUGGGGAUUGCACCCCCCCCCCGAGGGGUCGUGGUGCCCGGUGGAUCUCAGCGGGCUGCAAGUGUGCACAUGGACGCCUGGAUCCUCAGUGAUGCAUUCUGGACCAUUCCACGAUGUCCCUGCCUCUGUGGGGACCACCCGGCCUGGAUUACUGUGGCUUUGUCAUCAGUUAGGAAAUGAGGAAAUGGGAGAGGCGCCUGGGCGGCUCAGUUGGUGACGCGUCUGACUCAGUUUCAGCUCCGGUCGUGAUCUUGGGGUCCCGGCAUUGAGCCCCACAUCGGGCUCCGCGCUCAGUGGGGAGGCGGCUUGAGAUCCUCCUCCCUCUGCCCCUCCUCCCGCUCGCUCUGUUUCUCUCCAAAACAAAUAAAUCUGUAAAAAAGAAAAAAAAUGGG